CUAAAAAAGAUUAAUCAUUUGGUGGGAUAUGGAAAGAUUACCUAGUCACCAGUAAAGCUCCAAGAGGACACUCUUCUUGUCAGCAUAUUGUGCAACAUUCCACCCCCAUUGUGGAAGGAAAAAAUGAUCAUUUUUGACAAAGUCUUCACUUCUGUGCAGAACCAUGUUAUUAGCUUCAUUAGUUCCAAGACAACUUUUAACUAAUCUUUGGAAAUUGAAUUUCUCAGUUGAACUAAACCUAUGAAACCAUGAGUAAAUAACAGAUUACAGUACAAUGAUGUCAAGCAACACAAGUACACCAGUCCCCUUCGCUCUCCAAUCAUUGUUUCUCCUCUGCUACACCUCCGUGCCAUGUGUCACCCUGCCUUGGAGCCAGCUGAUUAUAGACUGAAACCUCUACAAACAGUAAGGGGAAUGCAGCUAAGAGUUUGCCU
rnacentral:lncRNA from 1 species